rnacentral:rRNA from 1 species
ACUUAAAUUGAAGAGUUUGAUCAUGGCUCAGAUUGAACGCUGGCGGCAGGCCUAACACAUGCAAGUCGAGCGGUAGCACAGAGAGCUUGCUCUCGGGUGACGAGCGGCGGACGGGUGAGUAAUGUCUGGGAAACUGCCUG